rnacentral:lncRNA from 1 species
UUUGAUGUUUCAAACAAUAACUCAAUUCUUUUCAUUGCACAUUCUUUGUUGGCGCGUUUGUGUGGUGUAAAGAUUUGAGUUAUUCUGAAUUUUUAAUGAAUUAAUAAUUUGAUUUGCCAUCUUCAAAGAAAAAAAGUAGAUAUAUUCAAAACUUAAUCUUUUAUCUUCAAUUUUUAAAUCAUAAUCCAUUGUACAGCAUUUUGGACCAUUAAGAGCUGGACAAGACAACCAAAGCGGGUUAUGGUGCUGAAAGUACCAUUAUUGUAAACUGGACUUCUACAAUCCAUUUGAGGGUGUAGUAAUAUCUGCUACUAUUUCCUCCCUAAGGGCGUUGUAACGGACAUAAAUUAAGGCUUAGAAAUAAGAAUGUCACAACAACAGUGAUGUUGUCUACACAUAGAGGUAGCGGGAAAGUAUAGGUCCUAUUUGUAGGGACAGACAGUGCCACUCUGCACGUUAAAGAACCCUUGUCACAACUCUUUUGAGGUGUCAGUAGGAUGUGGCUUGUUGCAUUAAUAGGCUAAAUUUCUGUCCAAAAAUAUCCUCCUCGGUUGGCAGUCAAAAUUCCCCCUCCCUUCACCAUAGGAUUGGACCACUUUAUAGAACCUACAAAUUGAUUUGUUGUGAUAUCAAGAGAUGUGAGACAACUAUCCUACAGAGACCAAAUGAUGUUAAUGUAAAAUAGGUUACUGUAUGGGCUUCAACAAUGAGAAAAUCCACUAACAUUACAAUUUUGCAAUAUUUUGAUUGAGAAUGACUUGUUUUAUACCUCCAAACUUUAACACCUGAUAUUUUUAUUAUCUAGAGCUCGUGAAUUAAUAAUUUGAUUUGCCAUCUUCAGAGAAAAAAAGAAGAUAUUCAAAACUUAAUCUUUUAUCUUCAAUUUUUAAAACAUAAUCCAUUGUACAGCAUUUUGGACCAUUAAGAGCUGGGCAAGACAACCAAACCGUGCAAU